rnacentral:ncRNA from 1 species
UCGCGACCACACGGGUGUCCCAGGAGGGGCUGAGAUCGGACUGACACUGUCCGGACCGUAGAACCUGACCGGGUAAUGCCGGCGAAGGAAGUGAGUACCGAUGAAAU